CCUACGGGGUGCAGCAGUGAGGAAUAUUGGUCAAUGGACGAGAGUCUGAACCAGCCAAGUAGCGUGAAGGAUGACUGCCCUAUGGGUUGUAAACUUCUUUUAUAAAGGAAUAAAACGAGGCACGUGUGCCUUUUUGCAUGUACUUUAUGAAUAAGGAUCGGCUAACUCCGUGCCAGCAGCCGCGGUAAUACGGAGGAUCCGAGCGUUAUCCGGAUUUAUUUGGUUUAAAGGGAGCGUAGAUGGGUUGUUAAGUCAGUUGUGAAAGUUUGCGGCUCAACCGUAAAAUUGCAAUUGAUACUGGCAGUCUUGAUUACAGUUGAGGUAGGCGGAAUUCGUGGUGUAGCGGUGAAAUGCUUAGAUAUCACGAAGAACCCCGAUUGCGAAGGCAGCUUACUAAACUGUCACUGACAUUGAUGCUCGAAAGUGUGGGUAUCAAACAGGAUUAGAUACCCUGGUAGUC
rnacentral:rRNA from 1 species